rnacentral:misc_RNA from 1 species
AACGCACAUUGCGCCCUUUGGUAUUCCGAAGGGCAUGCCUGUCCGAGCGUCAUUAUCAACCCUCAAGCCCGGCUUGUCAUUGGGCCCCGUCACGGUCAAGGUGACAGUCCCGAAAGGUAAUGGCGGUGUCGUGUUUGACCCUAGAUGCAACGAGCUUUUACAGCACGCGUCGACGCGGUCUACCGGCCCGGUCUUCAAAUCUAUUUUUCUAAGGUUGACCUCGGAUCAGGUAGGAAUACCCGCUGAACUUAA